rnacentral:tRNA from 5 species
GGGCGAGUGGUGAAAUUGGCAAACACGUACGCUUCAGAAGCGUAUGCCGCAAGGCUUGAGGGUUCGAGUCCCUCCCCGCCCACCA